GAUUAUUUCCGGUUCCCCUGGCUGUUCCUGGACAUGGUACUGCAGCCUCUUGAACCUCUCAUCUUGCCGUCCUCUGUCCUGCCCUGGUAUCAACACUCUUGGCCGUUUCUCAAGAGCAUCCAAAAAUGAACAAAUCCCAGAUUAAGCACAUUCUUUCAGAGAUCAGUUUCAUUCAAGGACUUGACCGUGAACCUCACCCAGAAGGAGUGGCAGCAACCUGAGCCUGCCCAGAGACUCCGGUACAGGGAUGUGAAGCCUAGUCUCAGCGAAGUCCCCAAGUCGAAGCUUGGUCCAUGUUCUGUAUCAUUCUGCAAACCAGAUGUGAUCUUCAAACUGAAACAGGGAGAAGAACCGUGACAGUGGAGAAAUUCUCAGGGCAGAACUACCCAGUUCCCCAGCUGUUUCUUAGUCACACAAUGGCCUGAGAAGUCAUUUUUAAGGAAGACGUGAUAGUUUGGAAGACAGCAGAGAACAUAAAGCUGAAGUCAUCACAAGCUGAAAAUGCUCUUUCUUAACAUCAUGCAGCUCCAGGGCUUCACUGAGGAAUAUUGAGUUGAAAUUCAGUCAAGCAUUUUCAGGGGCUUUGCAGAUAAUUCAUACAGAAGGAAAAAUUCCAUCAUGGGUAGUUUUAAAGUAACAAGGAAAGAUCUUACCCAAUGGCACAAGGUAGUCACAGUUACUCAGCAUCACAUCCACGUACAGUUUUCUCUCUUCAGGGCUCAGAUGAGCCCACUGGUCCAGAGAAAAGACCACAGCCACAUCUCUAAAUUUCACUGACUCCUGAAAUAACAAUUUAUACAUUAUAUGUGUACAUACUUCCAAGUGGCCCUUAGUAGAUUUCUUUCAAGUUGGGCAUCAUCAGGAGGGAGACUGAGUAUAAGGAUAUGUUAGAAUGGGUGGCCAAAAACUAUAAUAGAAAGUGGAAACUGUAAGAAAUAUACUUUGUCCUUGUAUAGUUUGGGCCUGCAAAAUUCCCUAUCUUCAUAAAAAGUAGCAGCUAAAGAAACAUACAUUUGGUGUUUGCACUUGGCUGAGGAGUCACUGAGGUGAAGCUGCCAUAUGUGGGAUGAUGCCUGAAGGCAGAAUCCCACCCAAGUGAAACGAUAAAGGAACUCCUUCCUGCCUGGCUGCUUGGAGGGGACAUCAAUCUUCAGACUUGAAAUGAAACAUCACUCUUCUUGAGUCUCAAGCCUGCCAGACUUCAGACUGGAAUUUACACUGUUAGCUUUCCUGGGUCUGCAGUUGAUUGCAGAUCUUGGGACUUCUCAACCUCCACAGUCAUGUGAGUCAAUUCCUUAUAAUAAAUUAUAUAUACACACAUGUGUAUACAUACACACACUUAUGAAUGUAUGUGUGUACCUAUAGUCUGUUGGUUCUGUUUCUGUGGAGGACCGCAAUUAAUACAAUCACUUGUUAACUGCCAUACAGUGUGAAUUGAUAAAGACUGAGAUUAUAAAGGCUGAGGCAUCAAAGGAUACCUUCAGAAAUAAAUUUGAACUGUACCUUAAAUAAAAGGACGAUCAUUUUUGGUUCCAGCUAUAAUGGAAUAGUUACUCUCACUGUGAACGAACUACGAAAGCUAGAUAAAUAUACAAAACACUAUUUUUAUGCACUGGAAAGCAACUCAUUGAGGACUGUGAUCCCUGACAGAAAGAAAACACAUUAUCCUAUAAUUCUCCUUGGUGGCAUUUCUAAAGCCACAGUGCAGGGACAUAGAACCCAAGCAGAGAGCAGUGGUCUUGCUGGAUGGAGGGAGAGGAUAUCAGGGUUUGGAGCUUCCUUCCAACACAGCUGGCGUUUGGAAGGCAGGAUGCUAGAGAAGGAGCCCUAAACACCUGUAUGGAAAUUUCUUCUGGGUCCCUGGCUGACAUUGGAACUGUGCCUGCAUACGGCCAGACUCGGGAGAACAGCUGUUGGGAUACUGAGUCAAACAGAAAUUUUGGAGGUCACACAGUGCUGCUAAAGAAGUAGGAUUCCAGCCCAGGCAGAUAGGGGAAGAUGUCUGGGCAUUUGGUUGUGGCCACACACCUAGAGUUCUAUACCCACUGAAGAUAUCCUUUGAAAAAUGCAGGCAGAGGUAAACUUAUCAAUUUGAGUUUGAAAAAUUGAAUGACCAGUGACCACAAGAGAAAUGGAAACCUCUCCCAGAAUAAAUAACAAGGUUUGAUAAAUUUGUAUCUUUCUGUAUGGAUUCACAACUGCCCCUAAAAAAAGGAUACAUUGAAGUCCUAACCUCCAGUACCUCAAGAUGUGAUGCUACUUGAAAAUAGGUGUUUUGUUUUUUUUAAUGGCAGUAGCCAAAUUAAAAAUGAGAUUAUUAGGGUGAGCCCUAAUCUUAUAUGAUAUAUAAAGGGUAAACUUGGACACAAAGAAAGACAUGCACAGAGAAUCAUCAUUGUGAAGAGACACAGGGACAGCACCAUGUGAAGAUGAAGGCAGAGAUGCCUCCACAAGCCAAGGAGUGCCAAAGAUUGCCAGCAAGCCACCAGAAGCUAAGACAGAGGCCUGGAACAGAUACUCCCUUACAGCCCCAAAGAGCAAAGUGUUUUUAGACUCUGUAAAUCAGUAUUUCAGGAAGAAAAUCAUAAGUAAGCAAUUCACCUGCCAUAUCACCUUUAGAAAUGAAAGAGCUGUUUUUCUCCUCCUCUUCCUUCUGUUCUCAGGGGAAAGCAGACUUCUGAGACAUCGCACCUUAAAACUGGGGGUAUGGAAGUUGCCUCUGUUCUCAGUAACUGUUCAGAGCUUAUAGCUCAGUCUGAGGUUUAGUUUGUGACCCAAGUUAUAGGUCCUAGAUCAAGUUCAUUUGACUCCCAGACCCAGGUUCAAGAUCCACAGGUACCAAAAAGCUCAAGAGAAGGGAGCAAGUGGUUCUGCAAGUACCUUGGAGAGCAUCCACUCUAACCUGAGAUCUUAUAGGACAGAAUAAAAGAACCACUAUAAGAAUUAGGUCCUAGAUAGCUGGGUCUGAAGCAGUUCCUGAUUUUCCUGCUUAUAGUGAGCAAAGCUAGGAUAAUAUCACAGCAUCCACAGGCCAUCAAAUACUGUGUGUAGAAGCUGUGAGCAAACUUUGAGAGGAGAAAUGGUAAGCCAGGGCAAAGGUGGCUAGGAAAGGGACAGGUUCGAUAGGGAAAUAAACUUUCUUGUAGGGUGUUUGAAACGUUGGUCUUGGAAUAAGAAUUGACCAGCACCGGCAGACAAAAUACAUCGCCACUUCUCCCUAAAUUACACACCAACUCUAUUUUCUGCUGCUGCUUUCCAGAUUCUGGGCUGGCCCUAUACCAUAUAUAUUACCAUACCCGAUUGAUAUUCUUUCCCCUAAAUUCUGGCCAAGGUGAAGAAAAGUUUUUUUCUCUUAGCUAGAGAAGAACUGAAAGGUAGUACUAGAGUAAACUUUGCAAGUUACCUGUCUCUCCUUGCUUAAAAUAGCAAUAAAAUUAGGGUAGAAUGAAUAAGUGAGUUGUCUUGGAUAACAUAUUGUUAGUGAAAGAAUUAAGACUAGAAAUUGAAAGAAUCUUCCUUGCCAGUGUUUUUAGAAGAAAUGGGUGAAUUUCUAGAAAAACAUCAAUUGCCAAAACUGACAACAGAAGAAAUGAAAAAUCUACAUAAUUCUUUAACUAUUCAAAAUUGUUUUUAAAAUUGAAUUCUUAAUUUAAAAUUUAGGGGCCCAGAUAGCAUCACUGUUUAAUUUUACCAAAUAUAUAAGGAAAAAGUAACUCAAUCUUACAGAAGUUGUUCUAGCAUUGGUGGUAUAGUGGUGAGCAUAGCUGCCUCCAGAAAUUGUUCUAGAGAAUAGAAAAAAGGGAAUAUUUUCCUACCUUAUUUUAUUGGCCAGCAUAACCUUGAAUAUAAAAACCAAAGAAGGAUAUUAUAAGAAUGAAAUAUUAAAAGUCAAUUUCAUUCAUGAAUAAGAGCUUUAAACAAAGCAUUAGCAAAUAAAAUUGGGCAAUAUGUUUUCUAAUUUUUUUGAGAUAAUUAACAUAACAGCACUGUGUAAGUUUUAGGUGUACAUCAUGAUUUGACUUUCAUAUGCCAUUGUGAAAUGAUUGGCACAGUAAGUUUAGUUAACAUUCAUCAUCUCAUGUGAAUAUAAGACAAGCAAUAUUUUUAAAAGCUAAGGUCAUGACCAAGUUGGAUUCCGUCCAGGAAUGUGUAUUUGUUUAACUCUUUUAAAAAAGUAACCAGUGAAAUGAGCAUAAAGGUCAUAUCAAUAAUAUAGAAAAUACAUUUGUUAAAAUUCAAAAUCUCAUAAUUUUAAAAAUUCAUGAUUUAAAAAAUCCAUAGUAAAUUGUCAACAAAAGGAAAUUUUUAAAAUAUCAUUGAUAAUGGAUAUCUAUAAGAAACCUACAACAAGUAUAAUAGUGUCUCAUAUUAGGUGCAAAUUUCAAAAUACUUCAAGUCUUCCAAAGUUUCCAAAAAAUUUAAGGAGCCACAUAUAAGCAGUAAGGAGCACUAAUUGUGAAUUGUGUUUAUAUUGUCGAGAUUUGGCUCUAUCACUUUAGCAGAUAAACUAAAGUUUACCCAUUUAAUAAGCCCAGAAUUGUUGGUGUUCUUGAAUAAGCACACUGUUACUAAUGCUUUAGAGUAUUUUGAAUGAUUUCGUAACUUUGGCAGUCAUUUUAACAUUCACUGUUAUUAAAAUUUUAAAUAUUUUAAUUACUACACCAGUCUCAUCCGAAUAUUCAUUAAAUGGUUGCACUCUUAGGGGGCUUAAAAAUUCAUGAAGACCAAUUAUUUCAAAGUGGAAAUUAGAUAUUAUGAUAUACUACAAAGACACUUAAACACCAUAAUGCACUGUGCAGUUAAUUUAAUGGAGAACACUCAAUACAACAUCAGAGCUAACGCUGAGAAAAUAAAAAAGGCAGCAUUCGAGCAGUAUGUUCCACAAUAGAUAUAAAUUAUGCUCCCUGAGAAUGCAUCUUUCCUGUUCUACGUCUGUUCCUAUGGGGAUAUUAGUAUUGAAUGAUGCAGGUUUUGAAUUCGUCCAGGUCUUUAUGAACAAAAUCUUUACACAGACUGCACUAUUGUUAUGUAUGAAAGUAAAGCAAUUUUUUUUGGUUCAAUUUUGUUCUUGCAUUUGGUUUUUACAUUAUUUUUAUACCCUUAGGAGACGUGUGAUUUUUUUAUUAAAAAAAAUAGAUUAAUGCCUUA